rnacentral:rRNA from 1 species
CGCAACGCUUCUUUUUCCACCGGAGCUUGCUCCACCGGAAAAAGAGGAGUGGCGAACGGGUGAGUAACACGUGGGUAACCUGCCCAUCAGAAGGGGAUAACACUUGGAAACAGGUGCUAAUACCGUAUAACAAUCAAAACCGCAGGGUUUUGAUUUGAAAGGCGCUUUCGGGUGUCGCUGAUGGAUGGACCCGCGGUGCAUUAGCUAGUUGGUGAGGUAACGGCUCACCAAGGCCACGAUGCAUAGCCGACCUGAGAGGGUGAUCGGCCACAUUGGGACUGAGACACGGCCCAAACUCCUACGGGAGGCAGCAGUAGGGAAUCUUCGGCAAUGGACGAAAGUCUGACCGAGCAACGCCGCGUGAGUGAAGAAGGUUUUCGGAUCGUAAAACUCUGUUGUUAGAGAAGAACAAGGAUGAGAGUAACUGUUCAUCCCUUGACGGUAUCUAACCAGAAAGCCACGGCUAACUACGUGCCAGCAGCCGCGGUAAUACGUAGGUGGCAAGCGUUGUCCGGAUUUAUUGGGCGUAAAGCGAGCGCAGGCGGUUUCUUAAGUCUGAUGUGAAAGCCCCCGGCUCAACCGGGGAGGGUCAUUGGAAACUGGGAGACUUGAGUGCAGAAGAGGAGAGUGGAAUUCCAUGUGUAGCGGUGAAAUGCGUAGAUAUAUGGAGGAACACCAGUGGCGAAGGCGGCUCUCUGGUCUGUAACUGACGCUGAGGCUCGAAAGCGUGGGGAGCAAACAGGAUUAGAUACCCUGGUAGUCCACGCCGUAAACGAUGAGUGCUAAGUGGUUUGGGAGGGUUUCCCCCCCUUCAGUGCUGCAGCUAACGCAUUAAGCACUCCGCCCUGGGGGAGUACGACCGCAAGGUUGAACUCAAGGAAUUUGACGGGGGCCCGCACAAGCGGUGGAGCAUGUGGUUUAAUUCGAAGCAACGCGAAGAACCUUACCAGGUCUUGACAUCCCUUUGACCACUCUAGAGAUAGAGCUUCCUCCUCUGGGGCCAAGUGGACACGUGGUGGCAGGGGUGUCGUCCAGCCUCCUGUCGCUGAGAAUGUUUGGGUUUAAGUUCGCAC